ACUCCGUGCAACCCCAUAGACAGCAGCCCACCAGGCUCCACCGCCGUCUCUGGGAUUCCCCAGCAGAUUUCCAGCCACUGUGAGGAUGGUAAGCGACAUUCCGCUCAUGCUGAGCGGCUGCCUGGAGUCUUGUGCUGAGGAUCGAGAAGCAGGUCCCAGGGAGCGCAAUGCAGUCUGAACCUGGCUUUCACUGGUGAGCACGGGCUAAGUGGGGCCCACCUACCACUUGUUUGUCAUCCUUAACCUCCCACGUUGUCAGUUUGUGGAAAAUGCACUAGUGCAAAGACCUUACCAUAAAUUCCAACUUGAAUGAAAUAAAAUACAAGGCAUGAACAAGGCUUUUGUGACCAGCUUUACAUGGAGCUGCCAACUGCUGUUGCAACCUCUGCAAACUUACAGAUUCUAAUACUUGUCCAUCUUGAAAUUGUUAUUUGUGACUUCAAGAAAUGCAUUUGUUUAAUUUUGACCCCCCUAAAACACACUCACAGAAUGGAAGUUUAUUUUAUUUAAAAAUCUAGGAAUUUCAGGGCAUUUAUACUCUGCUUUUUAAACAUAUUGUAGAGUUUCCUUACUAACUUGUCUACUGAAAUCCUUAAACUUUAAACAAUUCUUUGUUGACUUGGUUUAGAUAUGUCAAAGGGCCAUUUCUUUGCCCACUUUUUGACGCAAAUAAAAUAAAUUCCACAAUACCUGCAACAUAAAAAGCUUA